UAUUCAUCGUUUAUGUUGUGGCUGUGUAUCAUGUAAAUAGUUAUUAGGCUGUAUUUUAAAAGCAUGAAAUACUGGCAUACUGCAAGGAGUCCAAAUGUUGC